rnacentral:rRNA from 1 species
UUUAAAUCCUUUAACGAGGAACCAUUGGAGGGCAAGUCUGGUGCCAGCAGCCGCGGUAACUCCAGCUCCAAUAGCGUAUAUUAAAGUUGUUGCGGUUAAAAAGCUCGUAGUCGGAUGUCUGUCUUCGGCCGGGCGGCGCCACUCUGAAUCAAGGGUGUUGCGUUUCACGCUCUGGGAGCCCGGGUGUCAAAGCCCGACUCUCUUCACGGUCGGACAACAUCGCCGGAGUGGUGGUCGGUGGGUCGGGUUGUAUCGGUUCGUACAAGCGGCUUYGCGGUCGUUUGUGCGUUCAGUUGACUCGAUUCGCUCCACCCAGUCAAUCGUUCGGGGUGCCCUUCACCGGGUGUCUCGGGCGGCCGGCAACGUUUACUUUGAACAAAUUAGAGUGCUCAAAGCAGGUGUAUCCCAACGCCUGAAUAUCGCAGCAUGGAAUGAUGGAAUAGGACCUCGGUCCGAUUUUGCUGGUCUUUUCUUUUGGACCCGAGGUAAUGGUCAAUAGAGACGGAC